CUCCUGGAAACGGGUGGUAAUGCCGGAUGUUCCACAUGAGCGCAUGCGAGUGUGGGAAAGGCUUUUUGCGGCAUGGGAUGGGGUCGCGUCCUAUCAGCUUGUUGGUGGGGUAACGGCCUACCAAGGCGUUGACGGGUAGCCGGCCUGAGAGGGCGACCGGCCACAUUGGGACUGAGAUACGGCCCAGACUCCUACGGGAGGCAGCAGUGGGGAAUAUUGCACAAUGGGCGCAAGCCUGAUGCAGCGACGCCGCGUGCGGGAUGGAGGCCUUCGGGUUGUAAACCGCUUUUGUUCAAGGGCAAGGCACGGUUUCGGCCGUGUUGAGUGGAUUGUUCGAAUAAGCACCGGCUAACUACGUGCCAGCAGCCGCGGUAAUACGUGGGGUGCAAGCGUUAUCCGGAUUUAUUGGGCGUAAAGGGCUCGUAGGCGGUUCGUCGCGUCCGGUGUGAAAGUCCAUCGCUUAACGGUGGAUCCGCGCCGGGUACGGGCGGGCUUGAGUGCGGUAGGGGAGACUGGAAUUCCCGGUGUAACGGUGGAAUGUGUAGAUAUCGGGAAGAACACC
rnacentral:rRNA from 1 species